UACGAAGGGGGCUAGCGUUGCUCGGAAUCACUGGGCGUAAAGGGUGCGUAGGCGGUUCUUUAAGUCCGGGGUGAAAUCCUGGAGCUCAACUCCAGAACUGCCUUUGAUACUGAGGAUCUUGAGUUCGGGAGAGGUGAGUGGAACUGCGAGUGUAGAGGUGAAAUUCGUAGAUAUUCGCAAGAACACCAGUGGCGAAGGCGGCUCACUGGCCCGGUACUGACGCUGAGGUGCGAAAGCGUGGGGAGCAAACAGG
rnacentral:rRNA from 1 species